UACGAAGGGUGCAAGCGUUGUUCGGAUUCAUUGGGCGUAAAGAGCGUGUAGGCGGCCAGGUAGGUCGGUUGUGAAAACUGGAGGCUCAACCUUCAGAGGUCGACCGAAACCAUCUGGCUAGAGUCCGGGAGAGGAGAGUGGAAUUCCUGGUGUAGCGGUGAAAUGCGCAGAUAUCAGGAAGAACACCGAUGGCGAAGGCAGCUCUCUGGGACGGUACUGACGCUGAGACGCGAAAGCGUGGGGAGCGAACAGG
rnacentral:rRNA from 1 species